UACGGAGGGAGCUAGCGUUGUUCGGAAUUACUGGGCGUAAAGCGCGCGUAGGCGGCUACUCAAGUCAGAGGUGAAAUCCCCGGAGCUCAACUCCGGAACUGCCUUUGAUACUGGCAAUCUAGAGACUGGAAGAGGUUAGUGGAAUUCCCAGUGUAGAGGUGAAAUUCGUAGAUAUUGGGAAGAACACCAGUGGCGAAGGCGGCAACUGGUCCAGUACCGUGACGCUGAGGUGCGAAAG
rnacentral:rRNA from 1 species